ensembl:lncRNA novel transcript
AGAUAUGAUCAGAUUGCUUUGAGGACUGAAGUUGACUUUUGUGGAGCUGAUAAAAUGUCCCUUGGAGAGACUGGCCUUGUACCUUGUCUACAUGAUUCCCUUACAAGCUUCCUGAUUUUGUGUCUCAGCUCUGUCAACCUGCUUGAAGCUGCAAGGAAUUUGGUGCUCGGGGACAGGCCUCCACAAGUCCAAUGAAGUUGGCUGCGUUUCUGAUUCACUUCUCUAUCCAAGAAUAAAAAUAGGGGCUGAUCUACUCAAACGAUCCUGGGAGAUUAAAAGAUUUUGAAG